CUGGGCAGUCACCAGACACCCCCCCGGCAACUCUCCUCUCCAAACACGGGACAAUGAGGCUUUGGUUGUAUCUCGUUCUCAUUGCAGCAGCGUUUGAAGGUGCCCGGUGCCAGGUGCAGCUGGUGGAGUCCGGAGGGGAUGUGAAAAAGCCCGGAGACUCUCUCCGCCUCUCCUGCAAAGCCUCCGGGUUCACCUUCAGCAGCUACGAUAUGAGCUGGGUCCGACAGGCUCCCGGGAAGGGACUGGAGUGGAUCGGGGAAAUAAACUCAGCUUCAACUACCAUCAACUACGCCCAGCCCUUCAAGGGACGCUUCACCAUCUCCAGGGACAACCCCAACAACCUGCUGUAUCUGCAAAUGACCGGCCUGAAGCCCGAGGACACCGCCCGCUAUUACUGUGCGAGACACAGUGCGGGGAACCCCGACAGGGCUCGUACAAAAACCCGAGCGGCAGAACCGCCCUUCCGCCAUGCGCCGCGCGGGGGCAGCACUUCCCCAGACAAUCCGGCCCUGGGCACGGGAACGGGAGCUGCAACCAGAGCGAAAAAUCCUCUCUCCUCAGACUAG